GUCCAGGGGCGGGAAUCGAACCCACAACCUUCUGCUUACCGCGCAGGUGCCAUGUCCACUAGGCUACCCUGGA
rnacentral:tRNA from 1 species